rnacentral:rRNA from 1 species
UACGUAGGGUCCGAGCGUUGUCCGGAAUUACUGGGCGUAAAGAGCUCGUAGGUGGUUUGUCGCGUUGUUCGUGAAAACUCACAGCUUAACUGUGGGCGUGCGGGCGAUACGGGCAGACUGGAAGUACUGCAGGGGAGACUGGAAUUCCUGGUGUAGCGGUGGAAGUGCGCAGAUAUCAGGAGGAACACCGGUGGCGAAGGCGGGUCUCUGGGCAGUAACUGACGCUGAGGAGCGAAAGCGUGGGGAGCAAACAGG